GAUGAACGCUGGCGGCGUGCCUAAUACAUGCAAGUCGAGCGAACAGACGAGGAGCUUGCUCCUCUGACGUUAGCGGCGGACGGGUGAGUAACACGUGGAUAACCUACCUAUAAGACUGGGAUAACUUCGGGAAACCGGAGCUAAUACCGGAUAACAUGUUGAACCGCAUGGUUCAACAGUGAAAGACGGUCUUGCUGUCACUUAUAGAUGGAUCCGCGCCGCAUUAGCUAGUUGGUAAGGUAACGGCUUACCAAGGCAACGAUGCGUAGCCGACCUGAGAGGGUGAUCGGCCACACUGGAACUGAGACACGGUCCAGACUCCUACGGGAGGCAGCAGUAGGGAAUCUUCGGCAAUGGGCGAAAGCCUGACGGAGCAACGCCGCGUGAGUGAAGAAGGUCUUCGGAUCGUAAAGCUCUUUUAUUAGGGAAGAACAAAUGUGUAAGUAACUAUGCACGUCUUGACGGUACCUAAUCAGAAAGCCACGGCUAACUACGUG
rnacentral:rRNA from 1 species